UUGAUCUUAGAGCAAUUGUCUCCUGUACCAAUGUGUUCAAGGGUAUUUCCCACUUUCUAGUCUAUGAGAUUUAGUGUAUCUGGUAUCUGGUUUUAUGUUGAGGUCCUUGAUCUUUUGGACUUGAGUUUUGUGCAGGGUUAUAAAUAUGGCUGUAUUUUCAUUCUUCUACAUGGAGACAUCCAGUUAGACUAGCACCAUUUGUUGAAGAUGCUUUCCUUUUUCCAUUGCAUUGUAUGGUUUUGACUUCUUUACCAAAAAUCAAGUGUCUGUAGGUAUGUGGAUUUAUUUCUGGAUAUUCAAUUCCAUUCCAUUGAUCAAAAUGUCUGUUUCUAUACCAAUACCAUGAAGCUUUUAUCACUAUUACUCUGUAGCAGAACUUGAGGUCAGAGAUGGUGAUUCCUUCCUUAGUUCUUUCAUUGUUCAGGAUUGUUUUUUUUUUUUUCCUCCCCCAUAUGAAGUUGAGAAUUGUUUUUUCCAUGUCUUUGAAGAAUUGUGUGGGAAUUGUGAUAGGAAUUGUCUUGAAUAUGUAGAUUGCUUUUGGUAAGACAACCAUUUUUACUAUGUUAAUUGUGCCCUUCUCCUAACCUUGAGCAGGCUAAACAGACCUCAAGUGCUUGCCACAAUGGGUUUCCAACUUAGUUGGAUUUGUCCACCUUGCUGCACCUGCAGUUUCCUACAGGAACUUGUGUGAUCUUACCUGUGCUUGCAGGUGUGUAGGCACUCCUCAGAGACCAGCUCUCUCCUGGUAGUAUUUAUGUAUGUCACUCUGUGGCACAGGAUCAGCUCUGGGCACAGACAGAAACUGGAAGACUCUUGUCCCAGGAAAUGCCUUGGUUCCUAUGUCCUGAGGGUUCUGGAUAGGUUCCUCUGAGCAGCAAUGGUGGUCAUACCUGGGCUCCACAGGCCUGUCUGCACUCCUUGGAGGCUAGCUCUCUCCUGGCGCUAUUUGGGUAUGGAGCCCUGUGGUAGAGGAUUGGCUCCAGGCACAGACGGAAACCAUGGAAAGAAUGUCUUAAGAACCCGAUGAAAUGUUUAUUCCUUAUUCCAAACAGCAAUUAAAUUGGUUAUUGCAGAAUACUGAUAUUUGGCCUAUUGCAUGGCAAACUUUUUAGGCAUAUUUGAUAAUCAUUAUACAAAAGACAAGUUGUUAGAAUUUGCCUCUAUGCAUGCUUUUGUAUUUCCUGUAAAUUUAUUCACGCAGCUGAUAAAGAAUGCAUUUACUGUAUGUAUAAACAGCUCAUCUAAUAAAUAUGUGAUUGGAUCACAUAUUUAUUCUUUUGAGUUUCCCCCCUGCUUUACAGAUAAUUGAAUUAUGUAGCCACUGCUUAUGAAAUGUUGAAAACCAGGCUUUUAAUUUGUAUACUAAUAGCCAAUAAAUAGCUCAUGGUUUAC
rnacentral:lncRNA from 1 species